rnacentral:rRNA from 1 species
GAUGAACGCUAGCGGCAGGCUUAAUACAUGCAAGUCGAGGGGUAGAGGCUUUCGGGCCUUGAGACCGGCGCACGGGUGCGUAACGCGUAUGCAAUCUGCCUUGUACUGGGGGAUAGCCCAGAGAAAUUUGGAUUAAUACUCCAUAGUAUUUUCGGUUGGCAUCAACUGAUUAUUAAAGUUUUUCGGUACAAGAUGAGCAUGCGUCCCAUUAGCUAGUUGGUAUGGUAACGGCGUACCAAGGCUACGAUGGGUAGGGGUCCUGAGAGGGAGAUCCCCCACACUGGUACUGAGACACGGACCAGACUCCUACGGGAGGCAGCAGUGAGGAAUAUUGGUCAAUGGUCGCAAGACUGAACCAGCCAUGCCGCGUGCAGGAUGAAGCAUCUAUGGUGUGUAAACUGCUUUUGUACGGGAAGAAACACUCCUACGUGUAGGAGCUUGACGGUACCGUAAGAAUAAGGAUCGGCUAACUCCGUGCCAGCAGCCGCCGUAACAC